AUCACUUGGAGCAGGGAGGCAGAGCCAGCUGAGCAGAGAGGAGACAGUGAAACUUCCCCACAUUUAUAAGGGGAGCUCCAAGAGAAUUGGAAGGAGACUUUGGAAGAAGGGAUGGAGAGAAAGGACACAGGGAACGGCUUCGAGCUGAAAGAGGGAAGGAAAAUAAAAGGAAUCCAUUCUGGGAAACUCCACCAGUUUUGCCAGUGAAAGCUGUGAUUUUGUGUACAAAAAGAUUAUUAAAU